rnacentral:rRNA from 1 species
CAAUGGCGUAUAUUAAAGUUGUUGCAGUUAAAAAGCUCGUAGUUGGAUUUCUGGCAGGAGCGACCGGUCGGCCCAAGUGGUGUGUACUAGUGUUGCAUCUGGCCAUAUUUGUGGAGAGCGUGUGUGGCAUUAAUUUGUUGUGCACGGGACCCGCAUCGUUUACUGUGAAAAAAUUAGAGUGUUUAAAGCAGGCAAUCGCUUGAAUACAUUAGCAUGGAAUAAUACGAUAGGACUUUGGUACUAUUUUGUUGGUUUGCAUACCAAAUUAAUGAUCAACAGGAACAGUUUGAGGAUAUUCGUAUGAACAUGUCAGAGGUGAAAUUCUUGGAUUUUGAUCAGACGAACUACUGCGAAAGCAUUUAUCAAGGAUGUUUUCAUUAA